CUCUUCAAACUUAGAAUUUUCUCUUCAAAUAUUAGAAUUUACUCUUCGAAACAUGUUUCGAUGAGUAAAUUCUAAUGUUUGAAGAGAAAAUUCUAAGUUUGAAGAG